rnacentral:rRNA from 1 species
UUUACCUUGUAGUGGGGGAUACCUCGAACAACUUCUAAUUAAUACCGCAUAUUGUCUAAGGAUGAAAGAGGGGGAUCGUAAGACCUCUCGCUGCAAGAUGAGCCUGUGCAAGAUUAGCUAGUUGGUGAGGUAAAGGCUCACCAAGGCAACGAUCUUUAGCUGGUUUGAGAGAACGAUCAGCCACAUUGGGACUGAGACACGGCCCAGACUCCUACGGGAGGCAGCAGUAAGGAAUAAUGCGCAAUGGGGGAAACCCUGACGCUGCCAUGCCGCGUGUAUGAAGAAGAUUUUAGGAUUGUAAAGUACUUUUAGCGAUGAGGAAAAGCUUUUGGCUAAUACCUUAAAGCCUUGACAUUAGUCGCAGAAAAAGCACCGGCUAACUUCGUGCCAGCAGCCGCGGUAAUACGAGGGGUGCAAGCGUUAAUCGGAUUUACUGGGCGUAAAGCGCAUGUAGGCGGCAUUGCAAGUUGUAUGUGAAAGCCCCGAGCUCAACUUGGGAACUGCAUACCAAACUGCAUUACUGGAGUGUAGUAGAGGAUAACGGAAUUUCCUGUGUAGCGGUGGAAUGC